GUAGGUGGCAAGCGUUGUCCGGAAUUAUUGGGCGUAAAGCGCGCGCAGGCGGUUCUUUAAGUCUGAUGUGAAGCCCACGGCUCAACCGUGGAGGGUCAUUGGAAACUGGAGAACUUGAGUACAGAAGAGGAAAGCGGAAUUCCACGUGUAGCGGUGAAAUGCGUAGAGAUGUGGAGGAACACCAGUGGCGAAGGCGGCUUUCUGGUCUGUAACUGACGCUGAGGCGCGAAAGCGUGGGGAGCAAACAGGGAUUAGAUACCCUGGUAGUCCACGCCGUAAACGAUGAGUGCUAAGUGUUAGGGGGUUUCCGCCCCCUUAGUGCUGCAGCUAACGCAUUAAGCACUCCGCCUGGGGAGUACGGCCGCAAGGCUG
rnacentral:rRNA from 1 species